UACGAAGGGGGCUAGCGUUGCUCGGAAUUACUGGGCGUAAAGGGCGCGUAGGCGGAUACUUAAGUCGGGGGUGAAAGCCCGGGGCUCAACCUCGGAAUUGCCUUCGAUACUGGGUAUCUUGAGUUCGGGAGAGGUGAGUGGAAUGCCGAGUGUAGAGGUGAAAUUCGUAGAUAUUCGCAAGAACACCAGUGGCGAAGGCGGCUCACUGGCCCGGUACUGACGCUGAGGCACGAAAGCGUGGGGAGCAAACGGG
rnacentral:rRNA from 1 species